rnacentral:lncRNA from 1 species
CUCGCCUUCUUUACUAAUCAUUGAUAUUAUGUUGAUAGUCCUAAGUAUAAAGCUUUAUUACAACUGUCACAUAAACUUAACAUUAACCAAGAUAGCUAAACAAAGACCAAUGAACCAUGAAAACGAGGUCAAGGUCAGAUGAACCAUGCCAGGUAGACAUGUACAGCUAACAAAGCUUCCAUACAACAAAUAUAGUUGACCUAUUAC